rnacentral:rRNA from 1 species
GUUACUGGUGAGAGCACGUUGAAUACACCAGGUCCCCCAUGGAUCACUGAAGUUAAGCAUCGUUGUGCUUGGUUAACAUCCGGAUGAAUGAGCAUCUGGACAUUCGCGAGCUACUUAUC